rnacentral:rRNA from 2 species
UGGGGAAUAUUGCACAAUGGGCGCAAGCCUGAUGCAGCCAUGUCGCGUGUAUGAAGAAGGCCUUCGGGUUGUAAAGUACUUUCAGCGGGGAGGAAGGGAGUAAAGUUAAUACCUUUGCUCAUUGACGUUACCCGCAGAAGAAGCACCGGCUAACUCCGUGCCAGCAGCCGCGGUAAUACGGAGGGUGCAAGCGUUAAUCGGAAUUACUGGGCGUAAAGCGCACGCAGGCGGUUUGUUAAGUCAGAUGUGAAAUCCCCGGGCUCAACCUGGGAACUGCAUCUGAUACUGGCAAGCUUGAGUCUCGUAGAGGGGGGUAGAAUUCCAGGUGUAGCGGUGAAAUGCGUAGAGAUCUGGAGGAAUACCGGUGGCGAAGGCGGCCCCCUGGACGAAGACUGACGCUCAGGUGCGAAAGCGUGGGGAGCAAACAGG